rnacentral:rRNA from 1 species
CAAGUCGAACGAUGAUAGAGAGCUUGCUUUCUUGAUUAGUGGCGCACGGGUGAGUAAUGCAUAGAUAAUGUGCCCCUUAGUUCGGGAUAGCCACUGGAAACGGUGAUUAAUACCGGAUACUCCUUCUUGUUAUAAGACAAGUCGGGAAAGUUUUUCGCUAAGGGAUCAGUCUAUGUUCCAUCAGCUUGUUGGUGAGGUAAUGGCUCACCAAGGCUAUGACGGAUAUCUGGUUUGAGAGGAUGAUCAGACACACUGGAACUGAGACACGGUCCAGACUCCUACGGGAGGCAGCAGUGAGGAAUAUUGCACAAUGGAGGAAACUCUGAUGCAGCAACGCCGCGUGGAGGAUGACGCAUUUCGGUGUGUAAACUCCUUUUAUUAGGGAAGAUAAUGACGGUACCUAAUGAAUAAGCACCGGCUAACUCCGUGCCAGCAGCCGCGGUAAUACGGAGGGUGCAAGCGUUACUCGGAAUCACUGGGCGUAAAGGGUGCGUAGGCUGGCUUUUAAGUCAGAUGUGAAAUCCAAUGGCUCAACCAUUGAACUGCAUUUGAAACUGAAAGCCUAGAGUUCAGAAGGGGCAGAUGGAAUUAGUGGUGUAGGGGUAAAAUCCGUAGAUAUCACUAGGAAUAUCAAAAGCGAAGGCGAUCUGCUGGGAUGA